rnacentral:rRNA from 1 species
AACGAACGCUGGCGGCAGGCUUAACACAUGCAAGUCGAACGCCCCGCAAGGGGAGUGGCAGACGGGCGAGUAUCGCGUGGGAACAUACCCUUUCCUGCGGAAUAGCUCUGGGAAACUGGAAUUAAUACCGCAUACGCCCUACGGGGGAAAGAUUUAUCGGGGAAGGAUUGGCCCGCGUUGGAUUAGCUAGUUGGUGGGGUAAAGGCCUACCAAGGCGACGAUCCAUAGCUGGUCUGAGAGGAUGAUCAGCCACAUUGGGACUGAGACACGGCCCAAACUCCUACGGGAGGCAGCAGUGGGGAAUAUUGGACAAUGGGCGCAAGCCUGAUCCAGCCAUGCCGCGUGAGUGAUGAGGGCCUUAGGGUUGUAAAGCUCUUUCACCGAUGAAGAUAAUGACUGUAGCCGGAGAAGAAGCCCCGGCUAACUUCGUGCCAGCAGCCGCCGUAACAC